rnacentral:tRNA from 1 species
AAGGUAGUGAUGGAAUUGGUAGACAUGAAUAGCUUAGGACUAUUUAAUUAUUUUAAUUUUAUCCGUUCAAGUCGGAUUUACCUUA